GAAAAUCCGUCGACUUUAUAAGUCGUGAGGGUUCAAGUCCCUCUAUCCCC
rnacentral:tRNA from 30 species